CACUAGGUCACAGUGGAGCGCACUCACUCACCACCAUGGUGGGGAGGUUUGGGAGGACAGUGGCCCACAGCAGGGCAUACUCACUCACUGCUGUGGUGGGGAGGUUUGCAGGGGCAGUGGGUCACAGCAGGGCACGCUCACACACCAUUGUGAUGGGGCGAUUUGGAGGGGCAGGGGGAGGCUGGGGGAGCAGAGGGUGUGACGAAGUGGGGACUUUCCCUUGUUAUGUUGUAUGUGAGUCUUACUGUUGAGCCUGUCAGUUUUACUGUUUUGCAUGAAUACUGUGUGUGCCUCAGUUUCCCUGGGUGCUGCAUGAAUACCUCAGUGGUGGGAAUAGGGGUGUGUGACUUUGGCUGAGACCUCUGGGGCAGCUGAAGCUGCUCCAACUGCUUGCACAUGUGCUAUGACUGGUGCCCUUCGUAACCUGAGACCCUGGAUGGGGAUGCAACCAAGUGUCUUAGGUGCAGGAGCUGGGGUGGGGGUCGGUCGGAGGUCAGGAGCUGGAAGCUGAGAGUCUGCUUGGGGGGACUGGAAGAGGAGGAGUCCAGGGCUUCUGGCCCACGACUCCCAAAGCUGGACUUGGCUGAAAGUCACUGAUUUCUGUGAUAGCAAGCUCUGUUCUAUGCUGUGUUCCUGUCGACUAAUAAACCUUCUGAUUUACCAGCUGGCUGAGAGUCAUGUCUGACUGCGGAGUUGGGGUGCAGGGCCCGCUGGCUUCCCCAGGAGCCCUGCCCGGGCAGACUCGCUGCGGGAAGUGCACAGUGAGGAAGGGGAUGCUGAUUACUCCGAGGUCAGACCCAGGAAGGUGGAAGCUGUGUAAGCUUCUUGCCCUGGAGACAGUAUGCUCAGAGAGAGGAUGCUCCCCCAGAGUCCUGGCUGGCUUCAUCCGGAGCAGUUCCAGAUCAUCGGCCAGUGACUCCGUGACAAUGGGGAGGUUUGGGCGGCAGUGGGUCACAGCAGGGCACGCUCACUCACCGCCGUGGUGGGGAGGCAAUGAGGAGGUUUGGAGGGGCAGUGGGUCACAGCGGGGCACACUCACUGCCGUGAUGCUGAGGUUUGAGGGGCAGUGGGUCACAGCUGGGCACACUCACUGCCGUGAUGCUGAGGUUUGAGGGGCAGUGGGUCACAGCGGGGCACACUCACUGCCGUGAUGCUGAGGUUUGAGGGGCAGUGGGUCACAGCUGGGCACACUCACUGCCGUGAUGCUGAGGUUUGAGGGGCAGUGGGUCACAGCUGGGCACACUCACUGCCGUGAUGCUGAGGUUUGAGGGGCAGUGGGUCACAGCGGGGCACACUCACUGCCGUGAUGCUGAGGUUUGAGGGGCAGUGGGUCACAGCGGGGCACACUCACUGCCGUGAUGCUGAGGUUUGAGGGGCAGUGGGUCACAGCGGGGCACACUCACUGCUGUGAUGCUGAGGUUUGAGGGGCAGUGGGUCACAGCGGGGCACACUCACUGCCGUGAUGCUGAGGUUUGAGGGGCAGUGGGUCACAGCGGGGUACACUCACUGCCGUGAUGCUGAGGUUUGAGGGGCAGUGGGUCACAGCGGGGCACACU